GGCGAACGCUGGCGGCGUGCUUAACACAUGCAAGUGGAGCGACGAACCAGGGCUUGCCCUGGGGCAGAGCCGCGAACGGGUGAGUAACACGCGGGUAACGUGCCCCGAUGACUGGGACAACCCGGGGAAACCCGGGCUAAUACCGGAUGUGCCCCCUCACAUCAGUGAGGUGUGUAAAGGAAGCUUCGGCCUCCGCAUCGGGAUCGGCCCGCGGCCCAUUAGCUUGUUGGUGAGGUAACGGCUCACCAAGGCUGCGAUGGGUAGCUGGUCUGAGAGGACGAUCAGCCACACUGGGACUGAGACACGGCCCAGACUCCUACGGGAGGCAGCAGUGGGGAAUCUUGCGCAAUGCGCGAAAGCGUGACGCAGCAACGCCGCGUGGGGGAAGACGGCCUUCGGGUUGUAAACCCCUUUCAGUUGGGACGAAGGUCGGGCGGUUAACAGCCGUUCCGGCUGACGGUACCUUCACAAGAAGCCCCGGCUAACUACGUG
rnacentral:rRNA from 1 species